UUGACAGACAAGUCUGAGAAGGAAACCCCAUUCGAAUCCCCAUUCAUUCUGGAUUGGUGGAUCUGGAGCUCAGAAACAAAGUUUCAGUGUUCUGUGCCAAGGUCUUUGUGGCUAGGCUGCUCCAACCUGGUAGAGAGCAUGUGCGCACUGAGAUGCCUGCAGAGCAUGCCCAGUGUCAGAUGUCUCCAGAACACAUCAGUAAUGGAGGAUCAGAAUGAAGAUGAAUCUCCAAAGAAAAAUACCCUAUGGCAGAUAAGUAAUGGAACUUCAUCCGUGAUAGUCUCAAGGAAACGACCAUCGGAAGGAAACUACGAAAAGGAAAAAGACUUGUGUAUUAAAUAUUUUGACCAGUGGUCUGAAUCAGAUCAGGUUGAAUUUGUGGAACACCUUAUUUCACGAAUGUGUCACUAUCAGCAUGGACAUAUUAACUCUUAUUUGAAGCCCAUGUUACAACGGGACUUCAUCACUGCUUUACCAGAGCAAGGCUUAGAUCACAUAGCAGAAAAUAUCCUUUCUUAUCUUGAUGCCAGAUCACUCUGUGCAGCGGAGCUGGUGUGUAAGGAAUGGCAGAGAGUCAUCUCUGAGGGAAUGCUAUGGAAAAAAUUGAUUGAGAGAAUGGUGCGCACUGAUCCACUGUGGAAAGGGCUCUCUGAAAGAAGGGGUUGGGAUCAGUACCUGUUUAAAAACAGACCCACAGAUGGCCCUCCAAAUUCAUUUUACAGGUCAUUAUACCCGAAGAUAAUACAGGAUAUAGAGACUAUAGAAUCUAACUGGCGAUGUGGACGACACAACUUGCAAAGAAUUCAGUGUCGCUCUGAAAAUAGCAAAGGUGUCUACUGUUUACAGUAUGAUGAUGAAAAGAUCAUCAGUGGCCUAAGGGAUAACUCCAUUAAGAUUUGGGAUAAAACAAGCUUGGAAUGUUUGAAAAUAUUAACAGGGCACACUGGGUCCGUUCUCUGCCUGCAGUAUGACGAGAGAGUCAUUGUAACUGGAUCUUCGGACUCUACAGUGAGAGUUUGGGAUGUAAACACAGGCGAAGUUCUGAACACACUGAUUCAUCACAACGAGGCAGUGCUUCAUCUACGUUUCAGUAAUGGCUUAAUGGUGACAUGUUCAAAGGACAGGUCCAUUGCUGUUUGGGAUAUGGCAUCACCUACUGAUAUCACCUUGCGUCGUGUGUUGGUUGGUCAUCGUGCUGCUGUUAAUGUUGUAGACUUUGAUGACAAGUAUAUUGUCUCUGCAUCAGGUGACAGGACCAUUAAAGUUUGGAGUACAAGCACAUGUGAGUUUGUUCGUACUCUAAAUGGGCACAAGCGUGGCAUUGCAUGUCUUCAGUACAGGGAUCGACUAGUUGUGAGUGGAUCAUCAGACAACACCAUUAGGUUAUGGGAUAUUGAAUGUGGUGCCUGUUUAAGAGUACUAGAAGGCCAUGAGGAACUGGUUCGAUGCAUCAGAUUUGAUAACAAGAGAAUUGUUAGUGGAGCCUAUGAUGGGUACGUGUUUCGAACAUUCUUUGAGAAAGUUAUUCAUGUAUCUCUUAGUAAAGCAUACUUCUGAAAGUUCUCAUCCCGAACACACAUAAUGAGGAUUCUCUUUUGGUUUGCAUCCUGCUGUCUAAGUGAUCUGGUUAUGACAGAUCUACAUGUAACCUGGGUGUUGCCCACUUCCUGUAGAUUUCAAUAACGCAGACUACCUAUAUCCUGAAUGUAGCCUUUCAAUAUUAUGUAUUCUGUUUUAUUCUGCAGCUCCUUCCAGUAACUUGUUCUUAGGGCUCUUUAAUUCUGUUCAUAGGGGUAGGUAGGUAGUUCUAGGUCCCUGCAGAAUUAAGUAUUCUACUAAUCAAGUUUAUAUGGCUUUGCUGUACAGCACAAGCUAGUUAGAAUGGGCAAAUAGCUUGUUUUAAGUAGUGUCUGUUAUGAAUAGACAUUUCACUUCACUUUGUUUCCUCCCCAUAGACAUCACUCCUUGAGAAACUCCCUACUUCCCAACAGGUCUGUCUGCCUUUAUACUAGACACCAGCACGGAAACUCUCACAAAAUUUUGAAAUUGCAGCAGCACAGUCCAGCAGAGAGGCUGUAAUAUUUCCUGUUCUCUGAUAAGAGCCUUAAAGAUAGUGGUGUGGGGCUGCUAUGAGAGCAUCAGGAAAGGAAAGUGUAAAGGAAAAUGGCCUAACAUUCAGUGAAUUCAAGGAAAUUGUACAGGGACAUGGAUUAUCCCAUUGCUUUUAUUCUCCUUGUUAGCUUGUCACCUCUGGUAUUGGGCUGAAUUGUAGUUCAAGUGAACAGCAUAGGUCUGUUGAAGGCAAGUCAGGAACUCCUUUCAGCUUGAAUUGGUUAUUUUGAUUUUACCCUUCUCCUGGGAUCUGUAAUCCUAAAUAGAUUCCCAGGGGCUGUUCUCCCUGCAUUUCAUUGGCAGUAUGCUAGACUUUGAGGUCUUCUCAGUUUUAAGUUCAUAUGCAAAAUAUUCCUCAAAUGCAGAAAUGAAUAAUCCUGUUUAUGCUCUUGUUUCAUUUUAUAGCAAAAUUAAAGUUUGGGACUUGCAAGCUGCUCUUGACCCUCGUGCCCCAGCCAGCACACUAUGCUUGCGAACAUUGGUGGUAUGUAAACAUUGAUACAUUUGGGGUUUUGCACAAUUAUACUAUUUUAUAUUUGGCAAAAGUGAACAUUUUAAUGUUAAAUUUUAUUGCAAAUGCAUUGUCUUGGGGUACAUAAGAAAUUUAACACAUUCUGCAACUUCUGCUCUGUUCCCAAAGCUGGGAACAAAUGAAGAGGAUUGGGCAUGCUGCAUUGUGCACUGAAUUCUUGUUGACUCUGAGCAUAGAAGAAAAAUUGAGAUGUUAAGCUCUUCUGGCUUGGUAUUCUCAAAUGGUCUAAAAAUGUAAUCAAUAUGACAUUGCAUCCAAAUCAUUGUGGUUCCUGGGGUGGUAUUGUAAUAUCAUAUAAAUAUUGUACCACUGGCUUUAAAUAAAUGGACUUCAGUUAAAUGGAAACAAUUUGGAAUACUAUCAGCCUUCCUUAACCCUUUCUCCUAAUUGUAAAAAUGGAAAGAAUAGAUUCAGGAAGGGAGGGGAUCUUGUGGUGCGAUUACCAUAGGAACUCUAGUCAUUUCAAAGACUACUACCAUAUUUUAAGUGGCUACCUUAGAUUUUUUUUUUUUAAUUUAAUAAAGGCUUUGAUUUAUGGCAAUAAUAGGGAAAUGGGUAGCUUAUUGUAUUGGUCAUUGAAUAUACAGAGCAUUUCAUCUCCAGAUUCACAGCUUGAACCUUGUACGAGUCAGUAGUGAGCAGAAGUCAUUGCUUACAUGGUAUCUAUUUGAUGGCUUAUGUGAAAUGAUCUUGGCUUAUCUAUGUCCUGCAGAAGAGCCCGCAGCACAAAAACUGUAAUUGGUUCCCUUAUCAGCAGUCUUGGCAUAGAGAUCAAGUAUUGAAUGGGCAGGGGGACUCCACUGACCUCUUACUCUUUGAGUAUAAUUCAAUUACUGUAUGUAUUCACUUCAGACUCCAGUCACUGGGUUAUCAGUAUGGCAACUUUGGCCAGUUCUUUAAACAGUUUUAAAAAGGUACAAUGCCAUCACUUACUAUGGUGGAUCAGCAGAGCCAAGCACAGACCUUUGCAGGGUCCUGUACUAGUGCAAAGUCAUGGUGCCAUUUUGGUAUUGCUGUUUCUCUGAAGAGUUUCUGGAGGGGCCACUUUUAAAAUUCUUUCUCAAGAGCGCAUAUUGAAACACUGCCAACUUUUACAAAUAAUUGGGCCUGGAAUGGCUUAGGAAGUGGCUUAUGGGGACUACACAAUACUUUAAGUAGCAGCACUGUUUAAUAUACAAAAUCUUUUUGUGCAGCAGAUAAACCCUGACAGCUUGUCAGCACUAGCCAGUCUUUUUUUGUUUAAGUGGCUUACUCUCAGUUGGCAAUCUGUCCAGCUUACUUGUAGUUCUCUCAGCCUUUCUCUCUCUGGUUCUCAACUUCAUAGUAAAUUCAUGGCCUAUGCAAACUUUAUAUUGAAGCCACUGUAUUUGCUGCAAUAUUUAAUUAGCAGUAAUUCUUCUCAGACCUGUGUAUGAACCUUGACCAGCAAGUCAAAACUCAUCUUCAAUUUUGUGUCCAAAUGAGUGUUUGAGUAUGAAAUUAGUGAAAGAUGAUCCAUCUCCUGGCCUACUAACUGAACUCUUACUGUUUAUAGGAACAUUCAGGACGUGUGUUUAGACUCCAGUUUGAUGAAUUUCAGAUCAUUAGUAGUUCCCAUGAUGACACAAUUCUGAUUUGGGAUUUCUUAAAUGUGCAACCCAGUGCCCAGAACGAGACACGCUCUCCAUCCAGAACAUACACUUACAUCUCCAGAUAACAGUCUGCACUUUACUAGCCUCAUAAGGGUUCCACAAUCUUGAACUACUGGAUAUCUGGCUACUACAUGCCUGAAGAUGUUGAUUCACAGCUAAAGUCAGAAUUGGUUAUAGAUGCUGUGUAGAUGCAAAACAGCGCAAUUCUGUAUCUCUCUUAAUCUUUCCUGCUCCCCUUCAAUCCCCAGUGGUCUUCUCUAAGGAAUUUACUAUAAAUUCAGUGACUUCAAGUAGAUGAAAAUCAGAAGCCUGCCCUUCACUGCAGUGAAAAAUCCAAAGCUUCAUGUGUAAAUUGUCCAUAUAAACUGAACUAUGAUGGCUUGUUUUCCAGAAAUAAAUCAGAAGUCAAGAAAGGACUUGGCCUAAUUUAUAUUGCUUUGCACUUUUGUCUGACUUUAAAGAAAAAUAUUCUCCAGUGAAAUUUGGGUGCCAAACACAUACCCAGAAUGUACAGAGUUUUGCUUUCAAAGUCACCAUGCUCCUUUAGACUUCAUGACAAAUUCAGAGCCUGUUUUGUUUGAUAGGGGUGUAUGUUGGACUAUUAGAAAUAUUUCUGAAUCUAUCAGUAAUAUUUUUGGAUUACAGUUUACUUGUUUCUGCACCAAUAAUUUCUUUUAAUUUAAACAUUACCUGUAAAUCAGGCUAGAUUAUCUAAACUAGUUGUAUAGCACCGUCUUUUUUUCUUUUAACUGCCCUGUAAUACAACCGUCCUACUCUUCCUAAUGUUUGGUAUAACAAAAUCUUCCCAUGUGUGCUUGCCUCAUAAUUUCAAAUACUGUAUAAGCAUGUAGAUACAAUGUACGUAACAGUUUAACCUCCGGGUGCUAGAAGUCAGGAUCUCCUGACACUACACACUAAUACAAAAUGUGUUAGCACUUGGCAGCAGGACAUUCUAACUACUGGCACUGAAGGGAUUAAUAUGAAUUACCUAGAAAUAUUUCUCUGCAAAAGGAAUUUUCAGUAUUCAUUAGGAUUUUUUUAAUGGGAACUACAUAUUUUAAAAUGUAAUUUCUAAACUUUUUAAAAAUUAAAAAAAGUUUAAUUUAUGUUCUGUAUCUUAUAUUUUGUGCCGCAGUAUUUACAAAACAUCUUUCUUUCUUUUUUUUUUUUUUUUUUUAAAUUGGUAGAUUGCCACACAUGCCUACAGAUGUCCUUCCAUAGCAUUAGUUUGGCUGCUCAAUGGAAAAAAUGCCAUCAGCUAAAGUUAAAUUUAUUUAAAUACGUAACUUGUAACAAUUGAGGUGGGGUAGAGGCCCCUUCAAGGAAGUACUAUGAUGACUAGACUUAAAGUUGAAUUUAAGAUCACUUACCAAUAGCUGUUACACUAUGACCUUGUUGUGAUGCCAUGGUCAAUAUUUCUCUUUGUUAGCAUGUCCUUAUUAGGCAAUGUCUUAGUUCCUUCUUACGUUGUCAUGGUUCUCCUGUCUCUAAUUUAUACAGUCACAUUUAUUUAAUCAUAUUUUUCUUUGUGAAAGCAAGACCCUGAUAAAUGCCAUCUUUAUAGUGUUGUCCUAUUAAGUUGCCAUGUAUGACUACAGUUUUCAGUAGUUUUCUUUUAAUGCUUAGUUUGAAAAUGCACUAAAACCAAGUGUGUGUAAGAUGUACCUAUUGUCCUGGGGGAGAAAUAUGUUGUCACAGAGGUAGACAGUGAUUUCUCUAUCAUUUGUUGUGUAUUUCGUUUUCUAUUGGCAGCACUUUUCGGUUUCAGAUUUUCCCUUUUUUGGUUAAGGGGAGUUAAAGAAUGUCGGUAACACUUUAGAUGACCAGUGAUUUAAUACUAAACUUCCAGUGCAACAGCCAUGGUUAGAUGUCAUCCACCUUUGUCAGGCAAAUUCAGAAUGAAGUGCACAUCAGAUGUUACUGAAAUGUUAGAAAAGUGCAACUUACAGUUAGUCCUCUAUUCCAUUGAGAGAGAGCUAUUGGGAUCAGUGUUUGUUAGGGAAUUCCCUUUAACUUGUUACUACAAAGAUAUUUAUUUCUUUGAGAUCAUCAAACCUCGUGAAGUACAGAAGAUAUCAUGCUUUGAUAAGCGUCUGUAAGAUCACCUUUUGGUAAGCUUGACAGUAGUUUGUGAAAGUGGCUUACUUUACCCUUUUCAUCUAAUAGCUUUAAUAUUAAACUGUUUUUAAAAAAAGACAUCAGUUGCAGCCCUGAAGAAAAAUCUAUUUGUUUAUGAAGAAUGGAGUCCUUUUUUAUGCAUGUGUAAGAUUAAAUUCAUGUUUUUCCUUGGGAGAUAAUGGUAUUUGAACAUGCAGUCUCACCUUCUUUGAUUGUGCUUUGUGUAACAUAGCAGUGGACUUUGUGAUUGGCACCCAAGGAACUUGGCUCCUGGGACUCCUGGCUGCACUCUGGACUUUGUUUUGCUAACCAUAUUUGAGCAAUUGUACAUUACUGCUAUAUUAAUGUUUCAAAGCACUGGGAUAGUCUAAUUCUAACUUGUAAUUAUGUUUGCCAAUGACCCGUUUGGAAAGUUUGUGUAUGAACAGCUGAUUGAAACUGUUAAAUUGUACAGAUAUUGUUCAUGAUCUAAAGCUUUGUACCGUGGAAUGUGCUUAAUAAAAAAAUUGAACUUCA